GUGUUUGCUUUGGUAACACAUAUACUAAAAUGAGAACGAUCAGAGAAGAUUAACAUGGCCCUUGUGCAAGAAUGACAUGCAAAUUCAUGAAGGGUUCCAUGGUCAU
ensembl:snRNA U6 U6 spliceosomal RNA